rfam:Schistosoma rodhaini strain Burundi genome assembly, scaffold: SROB_scaffold0011029
AUCCAGCUGACGAGUCCCAAAUGGGACGAAGUGGCGCGCGCCCUGGAU